rnacentral:rRNA from 1 species
GAUGAACGCUGGCGGCGUGCUUAACACAUGCAAGUCGAACGGAAAGGCUCCUGCUUGCAGGGGUACUCGAGUGGCGAACGGGUGAGUAACACGUGGGUGAUCUGCCCUGCACUUCGGGAUAAGCCUGGGAAACUGGGUCUAAUACCGGAUAGGACGAUGGUUUGGAUGCCAUUGUGGAAAGUUUUUCGGUGUGGGAUGAGCUCGCGGCCUAUCAGCUUGUUGGUGGGGUAAUGGCCUACCAAGGCGUCGACGGGUAGCCGGCCUGAGAGGGUGUACGGCCACAUUGGGACUGAGAGACGGCCCAGACUCCUACGGGAGGCAGCAGUGGGGAAUAUUGCACAAUGGGCGCAAGCCGGAUGCAGCGACGCCGCGGGGGGGAUGACGGCCUUCGGGUUGGAAACUCAUUUCGCUAGGGACGAAGCGUUUUGUGACGGUACCUGGAGAAGAAGCACCGGCUAACUACGUG